CCUACGGGAGGCUGCAGUGAGGAAUAUUGGUCAAUGGGCGUAAGCCUGAACCAGCCAAGUAGCGUGCGGGAUGAAGGCUCUACGGGUCGUAAACCGCUUUUGUAAGGGGAUAAAACCCGCCACUUGUCGAGGUUUGCAUGUACCGUGCGAAUAAGGGCCGGCUAAUUCCGUGCCAGCAGCCGCGGUAAUACGGAAGACCCGAGCGUUAUCCGGAUUUAUUGGGCUUAAAGGGAGCGUAGGCGGCCUGUCAAGUCAGCUGGUAAAGUCUGGGGCCCAACCAGAGCCCCGCAGUUGAAACUGGACGCCUUGAGUUCAUAUGAGGCAGGCGGAAUUCGUGGUGUAGCGGUGAAAUGCAUAGAUAUCACGCGGAACCCCGAUUGCGAAGGCAGCCUGCCGGGGUGCGACUGACGCUGAGGCUCGAAGGUGCGGGUAUCAAACAGGAUUAGAUACCCGGGUAGUC
rnacentral:rRNA from 1 species